UACGGAGGGUGCAAACGUUGCUCGGAAUCAUUGGGCGUAAAGCGCACGUAGGCGCCUGUUAAGUCGGGUGUGAAAGCCCUGGGCUCAACCCAGGAAGUGCACUCGAAACUGGCGGGCUUGAAUAUGGAAGAGGGUCGCGGAAUUCCCGGUGUAGAGGUGAAAUGCGUAGAGAUCGGGAGGAACACCAGUGGCGAAGGCGGCCG
rnacentral:rRNA from 1 species